GUUUUAUGGAUAUUAAUUUUAAAUUUGACCUGCUCUAUGAUUUAUUAAAUGGCUGCAGUAUUUUAACUGUACUAAGGUAGCAUAAUAAUUUGUCUUUUAAUUGAAGGCUAGAAUGAAUGGUUUGAUGAAAAAUUAACUUUUUUAUUUUAAUAUUUUGAAUUUAAUUUUUUAGUUAAAAAGCUAAAAUUUUUUUAUAGGACGAGAAGACCCUAUAGAAUUUUAUUUUUUUUAUAUUUUUAUUUUUUUUGUUGAUUUUAUUUUAAAAUUAUAUUAAUAAUUUUGUUGGGGUGAUGUAAAAAUUUUUUUAACUUUUUAUUUAUUUUUCAUUAAUUUAUGUUUUUAUGAUCCUAAUUUUUAGAUUAAAAGAUUAAAUUACCUUAGGGAUAACAGCGUUAUUUUUUUUGAUAGUUCUUAUUGAUGAAAAAGUUUGCGA
rnacentral:rRNA from 1 species